rnacentral:misc_RNA from 1 species
AGAAAAGCACAAAUCUGUCAAUUCUUAACAACCGCCAAUGCACUCACUCUAACAUCAGUUCCUCUCUUCGCCGUAAAAUUAUUGCAGCCAUGGAAGUACCGCUCGAAAAUGAAGGGAUCAAAGGUUCUCGCCGGACCGAGACUCUUUACGACGUGAUCCAUCGUAUGCUAUCAAUGAUCUUUUUUCCUGAUUCCGACAGUUCAGCACCGCUGCUGAAGCGGAUCAAGAACUCUUUAUCGGAGAAUGCUUGUCUUCUUAAGGAUGCUACUAAUAAUACUGGCCGGAAAGUUCUCCUCUGGGCUCGCCGUGGCAGUCCUCUGCGGGCACUUCUCGUAAUCUCUGUUGGGACUAUUGCUCUUCUUACCUUGACAGGAUUGCUUGUCUUUAUGCUUUUCUUUCUG